GACGAACGCUGGCGGCGUGCCUAAUACAUGCAAGUUGAGCGAUGAAGAUUGGUGCUUGCACCAAUUUGAAGAGCAGCGAACGGGUGAGUAACGCGUGGGGAAUCUGCCUUUGAGCGGGGGACAACAUUUGGAAACGAAUGCUAAUACCGCAUAACAACUUUAAACAUAAGUUUUAAGUUUGAAAGAUGCAAUUGCAUCACUCAAAGAUGAUCCCGCGUUGUAUUAGCUAGUUGGUGAGGUAAAGGCUCACCAAGGCGAUGAUACAUAGCCGACCUGAGAGGGUGGUCGGCCACAUUGGGACUGAGACACGGCCCAAACCUCUACGGGAGGCAGCAGUAGGGAAUCUUCGGCAAUGGACGAAAGUCUGACCGAGCAACGCCGCGUGAGUGAAGAAGGUUUUCGGAUCGUAAAACUCUGUUGGUAGAGAAGAACGUUGGUGAGAGUGGAAAGCUCAUCAAGUGACGGUAACUACCCAGAAAGGGACGGCUAACUACGUG
rnacentral:rRNA from 1 species